rnacentral:rRNA from 1 species
GACGAACGCUGGCGGCGUGCUUAACACAUGCAAGUCGAACGGUAAGGCCCUUCGGGGUACACGAGUGGCGAACGGGUGAGUAACACGUGGGUGAUCUGCCCUGCACUUCGGGAUAAGCCUGGGAAACUGGGUCUAAUACCGGAUAGGACUCCGGACUGCAUGGUCUGGGGUGGAAAGCUUUUGCGGUGUGGGAUGGGCCCGCGGCCUAUCAGCUUGGUGGUGGGGUGAUGGCCUACCAAGGCGACGACGGGUAGCCGGCCUGAGAGGGUGACCGGCCACACGGGGACUGAGAUACGGCCCAGAAUCCUACGGGAGGCAGCAGUGGGGAAUAUUGCACAAUGGGCGCAAGCCUGAUGCAGCGACGCCGCGUGAGGGAUGACGGCCUUCGGGUUGUAAACCUCUUUCAGCAUCGACGAAGCGAAAGUGACGGUAGGUGCAGAAGAAGGACCGGCCAACUACGUGCCAGCCGCCGCCGUAA